rnacentral:RNase_P_RNA from 1 species
GUACUCGGGUAAUCGCUGUGCGCAUUCAGCGCAUAGAGGAAAGUCCAUGCUCGCACAGCCUGAAACGGCUGUAGUGUUCGUGCCUGACGAAAAAAUAAGUCAGGGCAGUGUGCGUCUGCACACUGACGGCAGAGACUCUGCCUGUGUCCCAUCAGCGGAUAUGGCAGCCAUCUCUUGAAAGUGCCACAGUGACGGAGCUUUACUGGAAACGGUAAAGGUGGAACGAGGUAAACCCCGCGAGUGAGAAACCCAAAAUUUGGUAGGGGCACUUCCGGAAAGGAAUCAAACGGACCGGAAGACGGACAGUUUGUCCGUAGACAGAUGAUUACCGCUUUUGUACGAGGGGAGGUUCCCCGUCUGCAGUACGAAAGACAGAACAUGGCUUACAGAG